rnacentral:rRNA from 1 species
UACGAAGGGGGCUAGCGUUGUUCGGAUUCACUGGGCGUAAAGGGUGCGUAGGUGGUGGGGUAAGUCUGAUGUGAAAUCUCCGAGCUUAACUCGGAAAUGGCAUUGGAAACUACCUUGCUCGAGGGUUGGAGGGGGGACUGGAAUACUUGGUGUAGCAGUGAAAUGCGUAGAUAUCAAGUGGAACACCAGUGGCGAAGGCGAGUCCCUGGACAACUCCUGACACUGAGGCACGAAAGCUAGGGGAGCAAACAGG